GGGGGUCUAACUCAAAGGUAGAGUGCUCGCUUCGCAUGCGAGAAGCACGGGGAUCGAUACCCUGGUCCUCCA
rnacentral:tRNA from 3 species